UGUCUUCAGGGCGGGGUGAAAUUCCCCACUGGCGGUACAGUCCGCGACCCACAGGGCGUUUGCUCUGUGGCUGACCCGGUGAAACUCCGGGACCAACGGUUACAGUCCGGAUGGAAGAGGAUG
rnacentral:ncRNA from 1 species